rnacentral:lncRNA from 1 species
UCUACUUUAUACCACAGUUAAGUGGUAUCUAAACUGUCAAGCCGCAUACCUCAUUCAUUUUGAAUAGCAAUCUAAAUUCAAACUAGUGUUACUCCCACAUGCAAUUCUUUGUUUUCAAGCAAUUUACAUGAGAUAACUAAACAACCAAACUCCUUCGGCAAGAGCAAAGCUAGGAAUCAGGCACCCAUGUUCGUUCAUACUUUCAAACAACUAAAGAAAAUAAGGUCCAAUGUAGCUUAAAUCCAAGAACAGAGCAGCCAUACAAGAACUUCCGUUCUAUUUUGAUGAUGAUUUUGCAGUUAAAUCUGCAGAAUGGCAACAUUGGGGUGUGUUUGGUAUAAAGUAAAAUGUUUUUCGUGAAAAUAUUUUCUUGAAAAACAAAUAGUAAUCUUAUUCAUGAAAAAUGACUUUUCAAGAGUAUUUAUAAAUAAUUUAGAUAUAAUAUUCAUGAAACCAUAAACUUACAAACCAACAGCCUUCCGGACCCACAAAUUUCAUAAACGUUCGAAUCGUCAAACUUUUAAAACCGCGGAAUUUCGAACUCGUAAACUUUAUAAUUUCUAAACCUGUAAACUUCCAAAUACAUAAACCUCCGAACUUAUAAUUCUGGAACUUGUAAAAUUUUGAGCCUUUAAACCGAUAAAUAAUAAAAUUAAAACUGAAAAAUAUANNNN